UUUUAUUUUUUAUCUUUUUUAUUUAGAUUUUUUUCUUUAUUUACAUUUCAAAUGUUAUCCCUUUCCUGGUUUCCCCUCUAAACCCCCGCCCCCAUCCCAUCUCCCCUCCACUUGCUCACCAACCUACCCACUCCCGCUUUCCUGUCCUGGCAUUCCCCUAUACUAGAGCAAUGAGCUUUCACAGAACCAAGGGCCUCUCCUCUCAUUGAUGUCCAACAAGGCUGUCUUUUGCUACAUAUGCAGGUGGAGCCGUGGAUCCCUCCAUGUGUACUCAUUGGUUGGUGAUUUAGUCUCUGGAAACUCUGAUGGUACUGGUUGGUUUAUAUGGUUGUUCCUCCUAUGUGGCUGCAAACCGCUUCAGGUCCUUCGGUCAUUUUUCUAAUUUUUUGUUUGGGGGACCCUGUGCUCUCAGUCCAAUGGUUGGCUACAAGCAUCCACCUCUGUAUUUGUCAGGUACUGGCAGAGCCUCUCAGUAGACAGCUAUAUCAGCAAGCACUUCUUGUCUCCAAAAUAGUGUCUGGGUUUGGUGACUAUAUGGAAUGGAUCCCCAGGAAGUGCAGUCUCUGGAUGGUCUUUUCUUCAGUCUCUGCUCCACAUUUUGUCUCCAUAUUUGCUCCCAUGAGUAUUUUGUUCCCCUUUCUAAGAAGGACUGACACACCCAAACUUUAGUCUUCCUUCUUCUUGAACUUCAUUUAGUCUGUGAAUUGUAUCUUGAGUACUCUGAGCUUCUGGGCUAAUAUCCACUUAUCAGUGAGUACAUGCCAUUUGUGUUCUUUUGUAAUUGGGUUAUCUCAUUCAAGAUGAUAUUUUCUAGUUCCAUCCAUUUACCUAAGAAUUUCAUGAAAUCAUUGUUUUUAAUAGCUGAGUAAUAUGCCAUUGUGUAAAUGUACCACAUUUUCUGUAUCCAUUCCUCUGAUGAAGGACAUCUGGGUUCUUUCCAGCUUCUGGCUAUUAUAAAUAAGGCUGCUAUGAACAUAGUGGAGCAUGUGUCCUUAUUACAUGUUGGAGCAUCUUCUGGGUAUAUGCCCAGGAGUGGUAUAGCUGUGUACUCAGGGAUAGCUAUGUCCAAUUUUCUGGGGAAUCACCAAACUGAUUUCCAAGGUGGUUGUACCAGUUUGCAGUCCUACUAGCAAUGGAGGAGUGUUCCUCUUUCUCCACAUCCUCACCAGCAUUUGCUGUCACUAGAGUUUUUGAUCUUAGCCAUUCUGACUGGUGUGAGGUGGAAUCUCAGUGUUGUUUUUAAUUUGCAUUUCCCUAACGACUAAGGAUCCAUUGUUAUCUCCUCAUACAAAGCUCAAGAUAGAAAAGAAAGUGGGGAAGAGCCUCAAUCACAUGGGCACAGGGGAAAAUUUCCUAAAGAGAACCUUGGUAGCUUAUGCUGUAAGAUCAAGAAUUGACAGAUGGGACCUCAUAAAAUUGCCAAGCUCUGUAAGGCAAAGGACACUGUCAAUAGGACAAAAUGGCAACCAGCAGUUUGGGGAAAAAAAUCUUUAUCAACCCUACAUCUGAUAGAGGGCUAAUAUCCAAUACAUGCAAAGAAUUCAAGAAGUUAGACUCCAGAGAACCAAAUAACCCUCUUAAAAGUGUGGUACAGAACUAAACAAAGAAUUUUCAACUGAGGAAUAUCAAAUGGCUGAGAAGCACCUAAAGAAAUGUUCAAUAUCAUUAUUUAUAAAAAGAAUAUCAAUGUUUACUGGUCUGGUAUAUAAACCUGUAAAGUACAAAUCCUGUUUGAUCAUUUUUGAAUUCUGAGAGAUUUCAUUUCCAAUGUUUUGAUGAAUUAACCUACUUUGUGAACACUCAUUCUCUUGUGUGUAUGUGUGUGAGCAAAGAUACACAUGAUCGUAAAAAUAAUUGUCAAAAACCACCUCAAUGCAUUACUCAAAAGAUAAAAGAGCCUUUGAAGUAAUGAUUACAUUUAUUAACUCUGAAAUCAAAGGAUCUAUGCAUAUAUUAUAGUGUUUUAUUUCAAAAGGAUUGCAUAAAUGUCAGUUUUAAUAAACUUCCUGAAGAUGAAAUACUUCCAUCACCAUGUGAAUAUCUAGAGAAGACCUCUAUGACCUCAAGACAUAGUGCCUCUUACAUAAUACCCUAAUUACCUCCUGCUUUAUAUAAACUUAGAUUUAGUUAUUUUACAAAUAGUAGUAGUAUUUCCUUUCUGUAUGAAGAACAUGUAUUUUAUUUUUGUUUCUUUCUCAUUGGUUUGAUAUUUAAAAUCUUAGCUAUAGGAUGUGACAUAGUUCCACUAAAUUUGAGUUGUUAACAAUUCAGACGCCAUUUUUUGUUGAGACAUUUCAAUGAGGCAUUUGAGAAAGACCUUGCUUUGCAAGUGUGUGGUGCUCACUAGACUUUUGAGUGUGUCAGCUGGGAGCUGUGAUUUUGUUGUGUAAUUAGCAAAGGAAAAUGAUGGUCUCUUUGCUGCCUGUGGUUUGCCAGUUUGGUUUUACAAUCUGAAUUUGAACCAGAGAUAUUUCUUUUUGUGUUAUUUAUUGUGCCUGGCAUUGCCUUGCAAGAGAGUUGUGAGUCACUUUACUACCUCAUUCACAAUUCCUAUCUGUUCUUAUUUGCCCCACUGCCAUUUCUGCAACCUAACUCCCAGGUUCCUAAACUGAAUUUCUUUUUAUUCACUAAGGCUCUGUCUGCAAACCAAUAGAAAAAAAGACUAAGAAGUGACCAAAAACACCAUUCUUGUAGUAUAUUCUUUAAAUGUAUAUAUCACUAAUUUGCAUUGCUAUUUAACAGUCAACUCUCAAAUCAGAAAAGGUCAAAUGUAUUAGCAUAUUAAGACUCUUCAUGUCCUUGGCUAUUCAUUACCUAUUUUUUCAUCCACUCAUCCAUUUGGUUCUUAUUUUAAUUAAAUAAAUCCAGUUGUAUUUCUAGUUCAUUAUAAAAGAUAAACGAUUCAUUGAAAGAAGAGAAUUAAGCAUGGACAAACUAUG
rnacentral:lncRNA from 1 species